CGUUGUUCGGAGUUACUGGGCGUAAAGGGUGUGUAGGCGGUUUUCUAAGUUUGGUGUGAAAUCUCCCGGCUCAACCGGGAGGGUGCGCCGAAAACUGGGAGACUCGAGUGCGGGAUGGGAGAGUAGAAUUCCUGGUGUAGCGGUGAAAUGCGUAGAUAUCAGGAGGAAUACCGGUGGUGUAGACGGCUCUCUGGACCGCAACUGACGCUGAAACACGAAAGCGUGGGUAGCAAACAGG
rnacentral:rRNA from 1 species